AGAACGAACGCUGGCGGCAGGCUUAACACAUGCAAGUCGAGCGCCGUAGCAAUACGGAGCGGCAGACGGGUGAGUAACGCGUGGGAACAUACCCUCCGGUUCGGAAUAACUCAGGGAAACUUGAGCUAAUACCGGAUACGGCUUAGCGGCGAAAGAUUUAUCGCCGGAGGAUUGGCCCGCGUCCGAUUAGCUAGUUGGUGUGGUAACGGCGCACCAAGGCGACGAUCGGUAGCUGGUCUGAGAGGAUGAUCAGCCACAUUGGGACUGAGACACGGCCCAAACUCCUACGGGAGGCAGCAGUGGGGAAUAUUGGACAAUGGCGCAAGCCUGAUCCAGCCAUGCCGCGUGAGUGAUGAAGGCCUUAGGGUUGUAAAGCUCUUUCACCCACGACGAUAAUGACGGUAGUGGGAGAAGAAGCCCGGCUAACUUCGUGCCAGCAGCCGC
rnacentral:rRNA from 1 species